ACCUUCCUCCCCAAAUGUGAACUUUAUUCACACUCUGUUUUUAUUUCUUCCUUAGAUUCAAAGCGUCUGGAGAAGAUAGCCUGGAGCAGCCUUCAGAAAUCAGGACUGUGCCCUGGAGAAUUAGUGAUGGACUCAAAUGCAUUUAAAUGUUGACUGUAUAAACUCAGGAAGCAAAAAGGAGUGAGGAGGAACCCAUGUGCUUUGAUCUUCCUUUCCAACCUCUUCCUCAGGCAUGGGAGCUCUCCUAAUGAAGGGCUGCCUCCAAGGGAUGCUGGAUACUGCUAGGAAAGCCUGUCUGGGAAGAGAACCUGGGAAGAACUCAUAUGUGUGAGCUGUGCCAACUCUACAGUGACUGCACGUUGCUGACCCUCCGCCUGUCCUUUGCACUCAUCCUCCCCUGAGUGCGAGGGUCUG
rnacentral:lncRNA from 1 species